rnacentral:tRNA from 1 species
AGCCCGAGGGGUCAAGAUGAAGACACCAAAAUGCAAGUUUGGAGACGCGCCCAAUGGAGGUGCCAGGGCUU